GAUGAACGCUGGCGGCGUGCUUAACACAUGCAAGUCGAACGAAGCACUUUAUUUGAUUUCCUUCGGGACUGAUUAUUUUGUGACUGAGUGGCGGACGGGUGAGUAACGCGUGGGUAACCUGCCUUGUACAGGGGGAUAACAGUUGGAAACGGCUGCUAAUCCCGCAUAAGCGCACGGCAUCGCAUGAUGCAGUGUGAAAAACUCCGGUGGUAUAAGAUGGACCCGCGUUGGAUUAGCUAGUUGGUGAGGUAACGGCCCACCAAGGCGACGAUCCAUAGCCGACCUGAGAGGGUGACCGGCCACAUUGGGACUGAGACACGGCCCAAACUCCUACGGGAGGCAGCAGUGGGGAAUAUAGCACAAUGGGCGAAAGCCUGAUGCAGCGACGGCGCGUGAGCGAAGAAGUAUUUCGGUAUGUAAAGCUCUAUCAGCAGGGAAGAUAAUGACGGUACCUGACUAAGAAGCACCGGCUAAAUACGUG
rnacentral:rRNA from 1 species